CUUUUACCUGAAUCAGAAUGUGGGUAUCUUUCUGGAGGCAAAGCUGUUUAGUCAGCAUUCAGCAAAAGCCACUUUCUUCCUUCAAAUCAGAUCUGCAUCUGGUUUCUCGUGGGGUGCACAUCCAGACAUUCUCUCUGAUCAAUUUGGGACAAAGGCGUUUUUCUUGUGUGCCAAUUUGUGUUUAGUGUGCGGAAGGAGUGCUUCUGUGUUUAUCUGGGUGCCUGUUACAGUGUUUCAUCUUUGGACUUUUGAGUUCUGAUGUCCUUGUGAGCAAGA